GACGAACGCUGGCGGCGUGCUUAACACAUGCAAGUCGAACGGAAAGGCCCCUUUGGGGGUACUCGAGUGGCGAACGGGUGAGUAACACGUGAGUAACCUGCCCUUGACUUCGGGAUAACUUCAGGAAACUGGGGCUAAUACCGGAUAGGAAUCCUUGCUGCCUGGUGGGGGUUGGAAAGCUUCGGCGGUUUUGGAUGGACUCGCGGCUUAUCAGCUUGUUGGUGGGGUAGUGGCUUACCAAGGCUUUGACGGGUAGCCGGCCUGAGAGGGCGACCGGCCACAUUGGGACUGAGAUACGGCCCAGACUCCUACGGGAGGCAGCAGUGGGGAAUAUUGCACAAUGGGCGGAAGCCUGAUGCAGCAACGCCGCGUGCGGGAUGACGGCCUUCGGGUUGUAAAACGCUUUCAGCAGGGGCGAAGCUUGUGGUGACGGUACCUGCAGAAGAAGCACCGGCUAACUACGUG
rnacentral:rRNA from 1 species